rfam:Theobroma cacao cultivar Matina 1-6 chromosome 3, whole genome shotgun sequence.
UAUGGAGUUAUCAAUGAUUAUAAAAUUAAUUCCUCGUUCUGACUUGCUUAAUUUGGACAUGACAAACCUCUUAUUACAACCAUAGAAUUUGAGUUCA